UGUGUGCCAUACAUAACUGUGUAUAUUACAUUCGUGUAGAUGGGUUGUGCAGCAGUCUUGUUCACAUCGGCAUUGCCACAGAUACAUGAGUCACACAGCAUGGCAUUAUGAUGCUUAUGAUGUCACUAGGCAAUAGGAUUUGUGCAGCCACCAUCAUGUCAUGUCUGCAGUCUGUUGCUGACUAAAGCAUCUUUACAGGAUUCAUUACUAUAGUGAAGGAAAACAUUUCUCUGCACAGAACAGACUGAGACCUAGCCCAGUGGACCCGCUCCAUGUUCUCUGGAUACAUCGGCCGCCUCCCAGAUCCAGCAGAAAGAAGAGAACCUGUCUCCCGCUUUGCACAUUCCAGGUCACCCCUCUAGGCUCAGCCCACACAUCUCGCUGUUGAUCACGAAGACGCAGUGGAAGGCAGCCUUUCAGAGGCAGAGAAGGCCAUGUGUUUUCUGAGUUCUGAUGUCAUCAUGAGGCUGCGCGGUGCUGGUUCACCAAAAAGAUGAGUGGAUGAAGUAUUUAAUAUUCUUCCGUAUAUCUUUCUGUAUCUUUUUCUUUUUUUUUAUACUCACAACCGACCACAGAAGUGAGCCCCCAUUAACAUCACAGAAAGUGAAUCUAGCAUUGAAUAUGUUCCAGUCAAAUCAACUGACUUCUGCUUCUUGGAGAGGCUCUGGACUUUCCUGCCCCUUUACCUUUCCCCGUUCUAUAAGUUCUCUACCUAAAUGCUUUUUUCCCUCUUCUCACUUUAACACCAAACCAAAUGGAAGGCCUGCUCGAUGCUAUCUACCCCAUGAGGACCAUGUGCAACUUCUGGGCCUGGAAGUCUUCAGAGAACCUGUUUGGUGCUUGUGCUGCAUUUUUCUCAGACAUCCACUCAGAUAUCUCUCUUCCUCUAGAGCUGGAAGUUCUGAGUGCUGGGUUUUAUUUCUGUGCUCCCUGGGCUUCCUAGCACAGUGCCUCACACAAAGUAAUGCACACAACAUAGGAUUACUGCCUCAGAAGUUGCUUGUAUGAUGCAGAAUUUCUCCUUCUGGAGCUAGAAGGAGGAGGAAAUGAGGAGGAGGCUCAUGCCUGAGUCUGUAUUGUGGGAGAUAUGUUUUGCCAAUGGGUAGGGAAGGGGCCCACGUCUCCCUGUUGCUCUAGUGGCGCUGUUGUCCAGUAGCCUGGAGUAUGCUUCCUGCCGAACUGGAUCCAUUGAAGGAGGAGCACUCCAUGGACCCACAUGGUCCAAGUCUUCAGAUGGCGAGAGGCCCAGGGAGCAUCCUCAGGGGCGA
rnacentral:lncRNA from 1 species